rnacentral:snoRNA from 1 species
UCGUCAGGUAGGAUAAUCCUUACCUGUUCCUCCUUUUGGAGGGCAGAAUAGAACAUGAUGAUUGGAAAAAAAAAAAAAAAAAAAAGAAAACAAAGUCCACAGCUGCU